rnacentral:tRNA from 1 species
GCCGCAGUAGCUCAGCUGGAAGAGCGCCCGGCUGUUAACCGGGCGGUCAGAGGUUCGAAUCCUCUCUGCGGCG